rnacentral:lncRNA from 1 species
AGAGGGUCUGGGACUGGGGAUUUGAACACUACCCCUUGUCCCACUCUGAAACCUACUGUAUAAGCCUCAGUUAAUUAGGUCCCAGGAGUAUGGUACAUACGUGUGGGCACUUUACCAUAUUUUUCUUUCUACUCUUAGGGGCUGAGGAUGCCUUGGAGACAAACCUGAGAGCCCAUGGGUCCCACACUGUUAAGCAUGUGCCGGAGAAGCGGCCUGUGCCCAUCCGCAGGAAGAGAAGUAUUGAGGAAGCCAUUCCCGCAGUUUGCAAGACCAGGACGGUCAUUUACGAGAUACCUCGGAGCCAGGUGGACCCCACAUCGGCCAACUUCUUGAUCUGGCCCCCAUGUGUGGAGGUGAAGCGCUGCACUGGCUGCUGUAACACCAGCAGCGUCAAGUGCCAGCCC